rnacentral:rRNA from 1 species
GACGAACUGUGCAAACGUUAUUCGGAAUCACUGGGCUUGAAGAGUGCGUAGGCGGUUUCGUAAGUAGGGUGUGAAAGCCCCCAGCUCAACUGGGGAACUGCGUCCUAAACUGCGAGGCUGGAGUGAGGUAGGGGUGUGUGGGAACUUCCGGUGGAGCGGUGAAAUGUGUUGAUAUCGGAAGGAACGCCGGUGGCGAAAGCGACACACUGGGCCUUGUCUGACGCUGAGGCACGAAAGCCAGGGGAGCAAACGGGG